UGCGACCUAACUGAGUAUGAAAGUUUCAUUAAUGAUAGAGUUAAAAUUAAAAAAAAAAUCCUUGGAACGAGAUGCAUGUGAACUUGAAAGCACAUCUUUUGUGAUGUCGACCACGAAUUUCUGCAUAGCAAGCCACCAAAGCAAAGUAAAAGCUGGCCAAUGGGCCUUUGAUGUGGUUUGAGUUUAAAUUUGUUGACGUCUUGUUUUGGCCCAAUACUAACAGGUAGGAAGAGUGUCAAAUUGUCAAUGUUUCAUACUUUCAUUAUUGUUGGAUUUUUCAUUUUUGAAUAUCCUACAUAAUUGAGAAUGGAGAUGAUUCAACUCUAA